UUGGAGGGCAAGUCUGGUGCCAGCAGCCGCGGUAAUUCCAGCUCCAAUAGCGUAUAUUAAAGUUGUUGCAGUUAAAAAGCUCGUAGUUGAAUUUUGGAUUCUGCCAGUUGGUCCAUCUUUUGAUAAGUACCGAUUGUGUGGGGUCUAUCCGCCUGGUGAUACGUAAUGUACUUUAUUGUAUGUUGCGGGUAGUCAGGACCUUUACCUUGAAAAAAUUAGAGUGUUUAAAGCAGGCUUAUGCCGGAAUACAUUAGCAUGGAAUAAUAGAAUAGGACGAUGUUGUUUUAUUUUGUUGGUUUCUAGGACAACCGUAAUGAUUAAUAGGGAUAGUUGGGGGCAUUAGUAUUCAAUUGUCAGAGGUGAAAUUCUUGGAUUUAUUGAAGACUAACUACCGCGAAAGCAUUUGCCAAGGAUGUUUUCAUUAAUCAAGAACGAAAGUUAGGGGAUCGAAGACGAUCAGAUACCGUCGUAGUCUUAACCAUAAACUAUGCCGACUAGGGAUCGGGCGAUGUUGUUUCAAUGACUCGCUCGGCACCUUAUGGGAAACCAAAG
rnacentral:rRNA from 1 species